UACGAAGGGUGCUAGCGUUGUUCGGAAUUACUGGGCGUAAAGCGUGCGCAGGCGGCUUGACAAGUCAGGGGUGAAAUCCUGGGGCUUAACCCCAGAAUUGCCUUUGAAACUGUCUGGCUGGAGACCCGGAGGGGAUAGCGGAAUUCCUAAUGUAGCGGUGAAAUGCGUAGAUAUUAGGAGGAACACCAGUGGCGAAGGCGGCUAUCUGGACGGGUACUGACGCUCAUGCACGAAAGCGCGGGGAUCAAACAGG
rnacentral:rRNA from 1 species